rnacentral:rRNA from 1 species
AGCGAACAGAAGGGAGCUUGCUCCCGGAUGUUAGCGGCGGACGGGUGAGUAACACGUGGGUAACCUGCCUGUAAGACUGGGAUAACUCCGGGAAACCGGAGCUAAUACCGGAUAGUUCCUUGAACCGCAUGGUUCAAGGAUGAAAGACGGUUUCGGCUGUCACUUACAGAUGGACCCGCGGCGCAUUAGCUAGUUGGUGGGGUAAUGGCUCACCAAGGCGACGAUGCGUAGCCGACCUGAGAGGGUGAUCGGCCACACUGGGACUGAGACACGGCCCAGACUCCUACGGGAGGCAGCAGUAGGGAAUCUUCCGCAAUGGACGAAAGUCUGACGGAGCAACGCCGCGUGAGUGAUGAAGGUUUUCGGAUCGUAAAGCUCUGUUGUUAGGGAAGAACAAGUGCGAGAGUAACUGCUCGCACCUUGACGGUACCUAACCAGAAAGCCACGGCUAACUACGUGCCAGCAGCCGCGGUAAUACGUAGGUGGCAAGCGUUGUCCGGAAUUAUUGGGCGUAAAGGGCUCGCAGGCGGUUUCUUAAGUCUGAUGUGAAAGCCCCCGGCUCAACCGGGGAGGGUCAUUGGAAACUGGGAAACUUGAGUGCAGAAGAGGAGAGUGGAAUUCCACGUGUAGCGGUGAAAUGCGUAGAGAUGUGGAG